AAUGAACGCUGGCGGCAGGCCUAACACAUGCAAGUCGAACGGAUGAUGGGAGCCUGCCCCUGGAUUCAGCGGCGGACGGGUGAGUAAUACCUGGGAAUCUGCCUGUUAGUAGGCUGUAACGUCCGGAGACGGGCGCUAAUACCGCAUACGUCCUGAGGGAGAAAGUGCGGGAUCCUCGGACCUCACGCUAUCAGAUGAGCCUAGGUCGGAUUAGCUAGUUGGUGGGGUAAAGGCCUACCAAGGCGACGAUCCGGAACUGGCCUGAGAGGAUGAUAGGUCACAUUGGAAGUGGGACACGGACCAGACUCCUGAGGGAGGCAGCAGUGGGGAAUAUUGGGCAAUGGGCGAAAGCCUGAUCCAGCCAGGCCGCGUGUGUGAAGAAGGUCUUCGGAUUGUAAAGCACUUUAAGUUGGGAGGAACGGCAGUAAGUUAGUAACUUGCUGUUUUGACGGUACCAACAGAAUAAGCACCGGCUAACUUCGUG
rnacentral:rRNA from 1 species